ensembl:lncRNA PLEKHA8P1 pleckstrin homology domain containing A8 pseudogene 1
AGAGGGAGUAGUGCGAUCCUGCGCGCGGGGGAACUAGCUGGAGGGCAAGGCGGGAACACGCCACUGUGAGCAUGCAUUUCAGGUUGUUGGCGCAGCUCUGCUCCAUGAUGUCGAUCUGAAACCCAGAUUUUCCUUCUCUUGCCACUGUCAUCUCCUGCAUGGCCAAAGCUAGGUCACCAUCAUAGUCAUGUUUCAGCCUAUGGGAAGGGGGAAAGACAAUAUUCAAGCAUCUAUUGUUGGGGUGAUCGGACCUAACACCAGGUUGUGGGGACAACGAAGUCCAGAAGAGUGAAAGGAAUGAGAAAAGACAGUUUGAGAGAGAAAGUGGGCCCAGGGGGCCAAUGCGAGUAUGGAGGCUGUGAAGGCCCCGAGCCCUGGAAGCCCAGACUAUUUAUUGGUGAUCAAACAAAGAAACAGGAGUGAGUGAGAGAUGAGGACAUAACAUUCAGUCAUGGCGCUACAAAAGCUGUUUCCUAAAGCUUCGUUGAAUUGUGGUUGGAGGAUGUGGCCUGUGCAGAUUUUGCGUUGGUGUAUUUAUUAGUGUUUUCUUUGUGGCGGGGCUGUGUCAGUUUGCGUUGUUCUCAGUGCAAGUGCCUGAAAACCCAGCUGAGGGGCUUGAAUGACUAAGGGGCUGAUUUGUGCCCUACGACAAGUCCACAGGAGAAAGCCCAGGACCGCCUUGAAGGAAGCAGGCUCUUUCUGUUUUCCUGCUCUGCCAACUUAUGGAGAUGGUGCUGCUGCAUCUUGGGCAUCCUGUGUAUGGUCCAAGCAGGAAGGAAGAGGAACAGGGAGAGGAGGCACAUGUAGAUUUGUGUUUCUGUCUCUUUGGCAAGAACUGAACCAUAUGGGCACUGCCAGCCACAAGACAGCCUAGCUGGGCUUGUUUUCAGUUUUCUAAUCUCUAGCUUAGAGCAUAAAGUUUAUAAUGAUUGUUAGAUAGGCCAACCUAAUGAAUCUAGUACAAUAUCAAUUUUCAUAUAUGUAACAAAGAUACAGAAACUAUAUAUUUUUUGUAGGGGGUCCUUUGCUCUCCUAUAUUAAAAAUUAUUUAUGUCAUUGUUUAUUUUUUGCAUACUUGACCUGUCAAAAGCUAAAAGUGGUCUAAUAAAGUCUUGUGGAAUAAACAUA